UGCACAAACUUCACACCAAGUUCGUGCCAAAUAUAAAUAUAUUUCAUUUUUAUAAAUAGUUGAUAACAUGAAUACAUUUGUGUGCAAAGCUACUGUAAGCCAAACAGUAUAACAGUUGAAUGUCUGAGGCAAUCACACCACACAUCUCUUGUUGAUAAACAUGUUAGACCCGGGGAUGAAAUUCCCUUGGAAAUGAUCCCUUGUAAUUUACAAAAAACACAUACAAACAAACAUGCGGAUUACUGGCAGCAACUGCUAGAAUCUUAUCUGGACACAACAGUCAUUUCAGAUGUUGAAACUAGUUUUUGAAGUUGCAACGGUAUCAGGAGCACAGCAUUUCAUUGGCCCUGUACUUGUAGUCUAGCCUGGUUAAAACCAGACCAUUUUCAGUAGUAACUGAGUUAUGGUCUGGCAAAGCUUCAAAGACAAAUCAUUUCCAAAGGGGCGUCACCAACGGAAGUCGCUUAAAUGCCUCUGGCGCAAUUGGAUAGACCUAAAACCAAUCAGAGCGAUGAAGGAGAUGACGUAUGCAGAGCUAUAUCAAGUCGGUAAGACAGCGAUAACAUCUUUUUUUUAAGAUAUAAAAGCUUCGAGUGUUGUUCUUUGCUCGGGUUUUAAUGAAAAGAAAAAAGUUUUAAUCGUUUAAAACAGACGCGAUAGCUGAUUUGACCGACUUAUGUUCCAUGGCGGCAUCCAUCUUUGUAAUGUACAAAAUCUGCUUCACCGUCACUGCAUUAUCACCAUUGUGUAAAGCCCACCCCAACGUUUCUGAUUGGUGCCGCAAUUUCGACGGAUUACAAAUGGGCUUGAAUGGCCUCUUUGCCAGACUACUUGCAUAGCAAAUCUAAAUUUGCCGGAAGUUGUCUGGGUUUUCCCAGGCUACUUGUAGUCUGCACAAUGACAAAAAAACGUAAUAUUUCAUACAAUAGUGGCCAAUAGUGAUGUUCAGCUUUGAAAAUAGACAUCUUCACCCUUUAUUUAAACAUUCUAUUAAGGAUGAAGUAAAGAUUUUGUAUGCAUAUUGUGUUGAGCUGAAGCUCAGUUUUGGGAAAAAAUUAAGGAGCUUUACAAGUCAAGGCUCAUAAAAGACGUUUUUUUCGUGCAUUUAUUUGUAUGUUACAAUAAAACCCAUAUAUUAAAGAAGACAUUAAGACUUUUUUAAGAACGAUUAAAAUAAAUCUUUGGUGUCUCCAGAGUACGUAUGUGAAGUUCUAGCUCAAAAUACCAUAUAGAUAAUUAUAGCAUGUUAAAAAAUUGCCACUUUGUAGGUGUGAGCAAAAAUAUGCCGUUUUUCUGUGUCUUUUUAAAUGCAAAUGAGCUGAUCUCUGCACUACAUGGCAGUGCAGUGGAUAAUGCAGAUUAAGGAGCAGUGUUAUCCCCUUCUGACAUCACAAGGGGAGCCAAAUUCAAUGACCUAUUUUUUAACAUGCUUACAGAGAAUGGUUACUGGGUUGUUCUUUAUCACAUUUUCUAGGUUGAUAAAAGCACUGGGGACCCAAUUAUAGCACUUAAACAUGGAAAAAGUCAGAUUUUCAUGAUAUGUCCUCUUUAAAACAAAACCCAUAUCCAUGUGUUUGUACCGCUAUUUCAAAAGAAUGUUGUCAAAAACCUCUACUAAAUAAAAUGUUCUCCAUUUUGUACCAUACAUCUCGUAAUUUGAUGUUUUAAUUGAUCCUGGGGGGUUAUUAAAAGCAAAUAUUACACAGAUAUGCCCUCCGGACAUCACAUUUGGCCACUACUGUAUAAACUAUUCUCGUGUAAAGGACAGCCACAGUAAAUGUAGCAAUAUGGAUGAUUUAUGGUGUUAAUACUCUAUUGUACUUCUGUAUUAAGUUGAAAGGACCGAGGUGCAGAGGUUUUACGAGAACAUGCGCUUGGUGCUGUCCGUGCCUGCCGCAGAACGAGGACGAGACUUUCGCCACUGCGACGCCCACCUACGCCCGAAGGCCUGUGCGCGCGUACCCGCUGAUAUGUCGAGCGGACUCCACCAAUCCGCGUCUCUCCGGAAGGCAGCAGACCAAUCAGCGAACGGACCACAGGAAAUACAUUCCCGUUUUCCGAGUCACGGAGAGAGGAGAAGCGUGACGGAAAGUUUGGAAAAGUGGAUAGAGCAUUUUACACAUUUAAUGAUUUCCAUAAUGCACAUUUGGAAAAAGUUUAUGAAGAUACCUACACCAGUCAAAAAAUGCAAGGUUAUUUGACUGAAAUGUUGAAACGAAUUAAAUGUGAAGGUUUAUGUUAAAAUGUUUGAAAUCCUUUUAGGGACAAAGUGGGUAGUUAUGCCCACCCCUAUAAAUUCCUUUCAUUAGAAAACUUACAUUUUAUUAGAAAAACUUCGGAUGAAGAAAGCUCGUGAUAGAAUAAUGAAAAUUUUUUAAGAUGUCAAAUAAAUCUUUGGUGUCUCCGGAGUACAUAUGUGAAGUUUUAGCUCAAAAUACCAUAUAGAUAAUUUAUUAUAGCAUGUUAAAAUUGCCUCUUUGUAGGUGUGAGCAACAAUGUGUUGUUUUUGGGUGUGUCCUUUUAAAUGCUGAUCUCUGCACUAAAUGGCAGUGCUGUGGUUGGAUAGUGCAGAUUAGGGGCGGUAUUAUCCCCUUCUGACAUCACAAGGGGAGCAAAAAUUUUAAUAUUUUUUCACAUGCUUGCAGAGAAUGGUUUGCCAAAACUAAGUUACUGGGUUGUUCUUUUUCACAUUUUCUAGGUUUAUCGAAGCACUGGGGACCCAAUUUUAUUUAAACAUGGAAAAAGCCAUAAUUUCAUUAUAUGUCCCCUUUAAGAUAAGUUGUAGUAUACCUAAAUAAUAAAGGAAUUUGGGCAAAAAUCAUAUAAUGAUUUUGCAUAAGAUGUACGUUAAAGGUGCAGUGUGUAAUUUUUAGAAGAAUCUCUUGACAGAAAUGCAAAAUAAUAUACAAAACUAAAUUAUCAGGGGUGUAUAAAGACCUUUCAUAAUAACCCAUUACGUGUUUAUUGCCUUAGAAUAAGACGUUUUACCUACAUACACCGAGGGUCCCCUUACAUGGAAGCCGCCAUUUUGUGCAGCCACAUUUCUACAGAAGCCCUUAACGGACAAACUUUUUUACUAAGUUGUCUCCACGAUGACAUGUUUGUCUGGUGGUGGCUACCGUAGCUUUUCUAUGUGUUUUUAAAAGCAAGAGGUGAGCAUUAGACUGAGCCGUUGGUGACAAUUCGCAACCUCACCACUAGAUACCGCUAAAAUUUACACACUGCACCUUUAAGUAACUAGCAGCUGUUCUAGGUCUAGACUGUUAUAUUAUACUGUUACAUUAUCCUCCUCUAGAAGAAAAGGCAGAAGUAAAAGCUUGUAGACAAGAUACCUAUUAACCAUCUGUGACUUUGUCUCGUGUGUGGAGGAGGGGGGGGGACUUUGAUGUGAACCCUGACCCCACAAACUGCAGCAGGCAGUUCAUCUGACUUUUCAGGGUUAAUUGAAUUCCUGAGGUGUGUUCUUCUGUUUGAACUAGUGUAUGUGUGUUUUACGAUCUUAAAAAGGAUAGAUGCUGUGUAGAUGCUAUGUUCAAAUGCCAAAACGUUGAAUUAAAAUCUCUGCUUAA